GCUAUUUUGACAGAUAAAUGUGAUGGUUUUAGAAAUCAUUUAUAUAUAAUUUAAUUAUAUAAAUAGUA
rnacentral:tRNA from 1 species